rnacentral:rRNA from 1 species
UAGGGAAUCUUCGGCAAUGGACGAAAGUCUGACCGAGCAACGCCGCGUGAGUGAAGAAGGUUUUCGGAUCGUAAAACUCUGUUGUUAGAGAAGAACAAGGACGUUAGUAACUGAACGUCCCCUGCCGGUAUCUAACCAGAAAGCCACGGCUAACUACGUGCCAGCAGCCGCGGUAAUACGUAGGUGGCAAGCGUUGUCCGGAUUUAUUGGGCGUAAAGCGAGCGCAGGCGGUUUCUUAAGUCUGAUGUGAAAGCCCCCGGCUCAACCGGGGAGGGUCAUUGGAAACUGGGAGACUUGAGUGCAGAAGAGGAGAGUGGAAUUCCAUGUGUAGCGGUGAAAUGCGUAGAUAUAUGGAGGAACACCAGUGGCGAAGGCGGCUCUCUGGUCUGUAACUGACGCUGAGGCUCGAAAGCGAGGGGAGCAAACAGG